rnacentral:rRNA from 1 species
UACGUAGGGUGCAAGCGUUGUCCGGAAUUAUUGGGCGUAAAGAGCUCGUAGGCGGUUUGUUGCGUCGGCUGUGAAAUCCCGAGGCUCAACCUCGGGUCUGCAGUCGAUACGAGCAAACUAGAGUGUUGCAGGGGAGACUGGAAUUCCUGGUGUAGCGGUGAAAUGCGCAGAUAUCAGGAGGAACACCGGUGGCGAAGGCGGGUUCUCUGGG